rnacentral:rRNA from 1 species
UACGUAGGGUGCGAGCGUUAAUCGGAAUUACUGGGCGUAAAGCGUGCGCAGGCGGUUUUUCAAGACAGAUGUGAAAUCCCCGGGCUUAACCUGGGAACUGCAUUUGUGACUGCAAGGCUAGAGUGUGUCAGAGGGAGGUGGAAUUCCGCGUGUAGCAGUGAAAUGCGUAGAGAUGCGGAGGAACACCGAUGGCGAAGGCGGCAUCCUGGACCGGUAUUGACGCUGAUGCGCGAAAGCCAGGGGAGCAAACGGG